GGGACAUUAACUCAGUUGGUUCAGAGUGUCACGUCGACAACGUGGAAGUCACUGGUUCGAAUCCAGUAUGUCCCA
rnacentral:tRNA from 1 species